AAAAACAUGUCUGUCUCUCUCACUCUACGACUCUCGCUGUCUCUCACAUCUGCCCUCCUCCGAUUCUCUCUCUCGCUUUUGUCUCCAUCACCGUCGGUACAGAGCACCAUCGACGUCAACACCCGUCGCACACGAGGAUCGCAAACUAGCAGCCUAUAUCGUCUUAUCUCGCAGUCACGAUCCACCAUUGGAGUACUUGGGUUUGCUCUGAAAUGUCCAUAAACUGACCAUUUCGUAAAGAGAAUAAGAUCAAAAUUGUCAAGUAAUGUGGUUGCUAACUUGCUCUGCAUUUUGAGUUGGGCUUAUCAACAAGGCACUCAAGGGAUGUUUCUGGGUUUGAAUUUGCACUUGGGGCUUUGGGUUCAUUGCUAUCUUAUGCAGAACUACUUGCUGAUGAGAGCAAUUAUGGAAGUUAUAGUAUUUGAUAGUACUAUCUUCACAGCUACGUGAGAUUAGAUUCUACUACCAUGAGGGCUCUAAAUGUUAUGGAGAGCAAAACUGAUGCUAACAAAGCCAUCUUUUGUUUGCUAUUUUCCCGGGUAAGCUACCUCUUUUGUUGUAGUUUAUGAAUAUACACUUAAUCAGACAAUUAAAGUCUGACACGUGCAUCAUAUAGAGGAAAAAGACAUGAAUUUCUUAUUUUAGCUGAUUUUGGUUUAGUUUUGUAAUUGCUUCUUCAAUUGCCUUAACUUGUUUUGGGCAGAGUAUAAUUGGACUUGUUUUAGUUUGAGUGCUUUAUUUAAUUACAGAAGAGUUGUAUUGAGGUGUAAUUUGUAGCAUCUGUUCAAGUGAAUUUCCUUUGGAAUCAUAUGUGAACUUCUAGACUAAGAUGAUGUAUGACUUUUGAACUUUAUGGGACAAUUUUUUAA